rnacentral:SRP_RNA from 1 species
UGUCUUGUCCUGCACGAUCUUGCUUUAACGAAUCUGGUCAGAUCCGGAAGGAAGCAGCCAUAAACUAAAGUUAAGGUGCUUGUGGGGUCACAAG